rnacentral:rRNA from 1 species
UGGGGAAUUUUGGACAAUGGGCGAAAGCCUGAUCCAGCAAUGCCGCGUGUGUGAAGAAGGCCUUCGGGUUGUAAAGCACUUUUGUCCGGAAAGAAAUCCUUGGCUCUAAUACAGUCGGGGGAUGACGGUACCGGAAGAAUAAGCACCGGCUAACUACGUGCCAGCAGCCGCGGUAAUACGUAGGGUGCAAGCGUUAAUCGGAAUUACUGGGCGUAAAGCGUGCGCAGGCGGUUUGCUAAGACCGAUGUGAAAUCCCCGGGCUCAACCUGGGAACUGCAUUGGUGACUGGCAGGCUAGAGUAUGGCAGAGGGGGGUAGAAUUCCACGUGUAGCAGUGAAAUGCGUAGAGAUGUGGAGGAAUACCGAUGGCGAAGGCAGCCCCCUGGGCCAAUACUGACGCUCAUGCACGAAAAGCGUGGGGAGCAAAACAGGAUUAGAUACCCUGGUAGUCCACGCCCUAAACGAUGUCAACUAGUUGUGGGGAUUCAUUUCCUUAGUAACGUAGCUAACGCGUGAAGUUGACCGCCUGGGGAGUACGGUCGCAAGAUUAAAACUCAAAUGAAUUGACGGGGUCAUAGCUGUUUCCU